rnacentral:rRNA from 1 species
CAUGCAGUCGAGGGGUAUGGGUUGCUUGCAACCCAGAGACCGGCGCACGGGUGCGUAACGCGUACACAAUCUACCUUAAUCAGAGGGAAAGCCGGAGAAAUCCGGAUAAACCCGCAUACUUUCGAGUGCAUCACUGCAUAUCAAAUAUUUAUAGGAUUAAGAUGAGCAUGCGUGACAUUAGUAAGUUGGUGAGGUACGGCUCACCAGACCACGAUGUCUAGGGGAUCUGAGAGAUGACCCCCCACACUGGUACUGAGACACGGACCAGACUCCUACCGGAGGCAGCAGUAAGGAAUAUUGGUCAAUGGGCGCAAGCCUGAACCAGCCAUGCCGCGUGCAGGAAGACGGCCCUAUGGGUUGUAAACUGCUUUUGUACCGGAAUAAACCUUCUCUUGCGAGAGAAGCUGAACGUACGGUAAGAAUAAGGAUCGGCUAACUCCGUGCCAGCAGCCGCGGUAAUACGGAGGAUCCAAGCGUUAUCCGGAUUUAUUGGGUUUAAAGGGUGCGUAGGCGGCUUUUUAAGUCAGGGGUGAAAACUUGCGGCUCAACCGUAAGCUUGCCUUUGAUACUGAGGAGCUUGAAUACACUUGAGGUAGGCGGAAUGUGACAAGUAGCGGUGAAAUGCAUAGAUAUGUCACAGAACACCAAUUGCGAAGGCAGCUUACUAAAGUGUGAUUGACGCUGAGGCACGAAAGCGUGGGGAUCAAACAGGAUUAGAUACCCUGGUAGUCCACGCCCUAAACGAUGAAUACUCGAUGUUAGCGAUAUACAGUUAGCGUCUAAGCGAAAGCGUUAAGUAUUCCACCUGGGGAGUACGCCCGCAAGGGUGAAACUCAAAGGAAUUGACGGGGGCCCGCACAAGCGGAGGAGCAUGUGGUUUAAUUCGAUGAUACGCGAGGAACCUUACCCGGGCUUGAAAGUUACUGAAGUUCUCAGAGAUGAGAGCGUCCUUCGGGACAGGAAACUAGGUGCUGCAUGGCUGUCGUCAGCUCGUGCCGUGAGUGUUGGGUUAAGUCCCGCAACGAGCGCAACCCCUGUGAUAGUUGCCAGCACGUCAGGUGGGGACUCUAUCAGACUGCCUGUGCAACGAGAGAAAGAAGGACGACGUCAAGUCAUCAUGCCUACAUCCGAGCUACACACUGCUACAUGGAUGGUACGAGGGCUGCUACUGGUAACAGGAUGCCAAUCUCUUAAAGCCAUUCACAGUUCGGAUUGAGGUCUGCAACUCGACCUCAUGAAGUUGGAUUCGCUAGUAAUCGCGUAUCAGCAAUG